UACGAAGGGGGCUAGCGUUGUUCGGAAUUACUGGGCGUAAAGCGUGUGUAGGCGGUUGUCCAAGUUGGAUGUGAAAGCCUUGAGCUCAACUCAAGAAAUGCAUUCAGGACUGGAUGGCUAGAGGACCGGAGAGGAUAGUGGAAUUCCCAGUGUAGUGGUGAAAUACGUAGAGAUUGGGAAGAACACCAGUGGCGAAGGCGGCUAUCUGGACGGUUUCUGACGCUAAGACUCGAAAGCGUGGGGAGCAAACAGG
rnacentral:rRNA from 1 species